rnacentral:rRNA from 1 species
CGAGAACGCCCGGGCCUAGCCGGGGCAAGUACAGUGGCGGACGGGUGCGUAACGCGUAGAUAACCUGCCCUCAGGCGCGGGACAAUCGCGGGAAACCGCGGCUAAUACCGCACGACGUCCGGAUCCCGCAUGGGAGCCGGAUGAAACCUUGGGUUCGCCCAGGGGCCUUUGGAUGGGUCUGCGUCGGAUUAGCUUGUUGGUGAGGUAACGGCUCACCAAGGUAGCGAUCCGUAGCUGGUCUGAGAGGACGAUCAGUCACACUGGGACUGAGACACGGCCCAGACUCCUACGGGAGGCAGCAGUGGGGAAUCUUGCACAAUGGGGUCACCCCUGAUGCAGCCAUGCCGCAUGGAGGAAGACACCCCUAUGGGGCGUAAACUCCUUUUCUGAGAGAAGAAGCCCCUGUAGGUUCAGGGCGUGACGGUAUCUCAGGAAUGAGCACCGGCUAACUCCGUGCCAGCAGCCGCGGUAAUACGGAGGGUGCAAGCGUUGUCCGGAAUCACUGGGCGUAAAGGGUGCGCAGGCGGGGCAGCAAGUCGGAGGUGAAAGCCCGUGGCUCAACCACGGAAGUGCCUUCGAAACUGUUGCUCUUGAGUCCCGGAGAGGUUGCCGGAAUUCGUGGUGUAGCGGUGAAAUGCGUAGAUAUCACGAGGAACACCAGAGGCGAAAGCGGGCAACUGGACGGGUACUGACGCUCAGGCACGAAAGCGCGGGGAGC